CGCGCGCCUGCGGAGGCGGCGGCACCGGACCCCCCUCCCGCCCGGCUCCCGGGCCCCGGGGGCGAGAGAGACCCCGAAUCCCGGAGCGGGCCGGGACCUGGGCGCGGCCGCACCCCCACCCACACCGGCGCGGGGGCCGGGCCGCGGGAACGCCCUCCCGGAAUGAAGCGCUUCCCGGUGCCUUCAAGAUGAGGAAAUGGCAAUGGCACCCACCAAGCAGCUGUGGUUUGGGAGCUGGGAUAUCGCUAUGUGGAAGCCCGUGGCACUUUG
ensembl:lncRNA